ensembl:lncRNA
CACAUUUAAUCUGCAGUUUUAUUUUUAGAAUGCCAAGGAUAUAUUUAAUACAGAUAUACUACUCGGUUACCUUUGGUGGGUUCAAAGGUUCCGGGUUGUUCCAUGCCAGUGAGCGGGGUCUCAUGGUCGUAACCUGGUCGUUGCAGGUCAAACGAGUAUCUCUGAAAAGAAACAAUAUAAACAAAACAUGGAAUAUCCUAUCUCCACCAGGCAGUGCCAGCAACACCAAGACCGGCAAGUAACGCCAGCAACACCAAGACCGCCAGGCAAAACUGAGACCACCAGGAAACACCGUCAACACCAAGACCACCAGGCAACCCCAGCAACACCAAGACCGCCAGGUAACACCGGCAACGCCAAGACCACCAGGCAACACUGAGACCGCCAGGCAAUGCCGGCAACACCAAGACAGCCAGGCAACCCCAGCAACACCAAGACCGCCAGGCAAUGCCUGCAACACCAAGACUGCCAGGCAACACUGAGACUUCCAGGCAAUGCCGUCAACACCAAGACUGCCAGGCAACACCAAGAUUGCCAGGCAACACCAAGACUGCCAGGCAACACUGAGACUGCCAGGCAAAACCAAGACUGCCAGGCAACACUGAGACUGCCAGGCAAUGCGGUCAACACCAAGACUACCAGGCAAUCCCAUCAACACCAAGACUGCCAGGCAACACUGAGACCGCCAGGCAACGCCAAGACUGCCAGGCAACACUGAGACCGCCAGGCAACGCCAAGACUGCCAAGCAACACUGAGACCGCCAGGCAACGCCAAGACUGCCAUGCAACACUGAGACUGCCAGGCAACACUGAGACUGCCAGGCAACACCAGUAUUACCAUCUACACCAAGACCGCCAGGCAACAUGGUCAACACCAAGACCGCCAGCACCCAAACAUUUAAUGAAUGUGCCUACAGAAGAGGAACACUAUAAAUGUCACAGGGGGGUCAACUGGGAAAAGCAACAGAAAAACGCUGAACAUAAGCAAAGUGCCUUUUACAUUUUUACACACCCCUUUUUACUAUCGAAUGAAGGACAUACACUGAUGAGCCAACACAUUUUGACCACUCACAGGUGAAGCGGGUAACAUUGUUCAGCUCCUAACAAGGGCACAUGUCAAGGUCUGGGUAGAUUAGAUGGUACAAUCAGUUCUCGUAGUCAACAUGUUGGAUGCAGGAGAAAUGGGCAGGAGUAAAGUCCUGAGUGACUUUGACAAGGGCCACAUUGUUAUGGCCAGACGACUGGGUCUGAAAGGGCUUGGUUUGUGGGGUGCCCCCGUUCAGCUGUGGUGAGUACCAACUGACAUUGGUAUAAGGAGGGACAAACCACAAACCAAUGACAGGAUGUUGGCAGCCCAAGGCUCCUCAAUGCAUGAGGACAACAAAGGCUAUCCCAUCUGGUCCAAACCGACAGGAGGGUCCAAUGUGGCACAAGUCAGUGAAAAUGUUAAUGAUGAACACAAUGCAUCACACCAUGCAGCAUAUGGGCCUGCGUAGCUGCAGGCCUGUCAGAGUGCCCAUGAUGACCCCUGUGACCACGGUCGAAAGAGUUGGCACUUUAUGAGCGCUGGCACUUUAUGAGCGCUGGCACUUUAUUAGCGUUGGCACUAAUAUGCUGUUGGAGGGUUCUUGGAGACAUGAACCCACAACAAGCAUAUUAGGAAGUUGGUCAUUAUGUUUGACUCAUCAGUGUACAUUACACACUAGCAAUAUAGUAAGAUCAAUGGUUUGUAAAACAUCUAUAAUGAAUUCUCACCCUGGACUUCUUUCUCAGGAAGUAGAUACCAAACAGCACAAAGAAAAUGGCCAUUAAUAUGAAGAACAGGAUUACGUAACCUAGAAUAGAGAUGGGGAUUAGCGGAAUGGGGAGUUGAGAGGAUGCAGGAGGGAGGAGCGGAAUGGGGAGGUCAGGGGAUACAGGUGGGAGGAGCGGAAUGGGGAGGUGAGAGGAUGCAGGAGGGAGGAGGGAGAGAAAGAGUGAAGGAGGGAGGGAUAGAAGAUGGAAGGAAGGGAUAAGGGGAGAGAGUUGGAGGGUGAGAGAGGGGAGAGAGAGAGAGCAGGGAGACAAAGAGGAGAGACAGGAGAGAGAGGGGCGGGGGGGGGCAGAGAAGAGGGAUAUGGGAGAGAAAAGGGGAGGGGAGAGGUGUGAGAGUGAGAUAGAGGUGAGAGAGUUUAGAAAGACAGGGGAGACAGAGGGGAGAGAGAAAGGGGGUGAGGGGGGAGAGAGUGAUGGGGAGGGAGAGAGAAGAGAGAAAUGGGGGAGAGAAAGUUAGACAGGGAGAGUAACAUUUAGAGAGUGUAGUUAGUCACAGUUAAAACAAUAAACCGGAGGAGAAAAUGACUCAACAUUCCCAGUGAAGAUACAGUACCUAUUGCAUCACUGGAUCCUGUGAUAGUUUCCAUCGACACAAAACAGCAGCAAUGAAUCAGUUAACAGACAAACACAGAAAGAGAAAGACAGAAAUGUCAGAUUCUCAUUAAUUAGACAAACAGAAUGUCAUAAACAUUUCUGCAUGAAGUGUAUAAGACAAACAGGAUGACGUAAAUGUCUGAAUAUCAUUUAUCAGGCCCAGAACCAACAGAGCAGACAGAGCAGACAGACAGACAGAGCAGACAGAGCAGACAGACAGACAGAGCAGACAGAGCAGACAGACAGACAGAGCAGACAGAACCGACAGAGCAGGCAGAACCGACAGAGCAGGCAGAGCAGACAGACAGACAGAAAGACUACAAUACAAAUGGGUGCAGACGUUUUUGUUAUUUUUUGAAAAACACAACGAGGGAUCACGCCUAACUGACCUUUUUCAUCUAGCAGGCUAGCAGUGUGAUCGUGUGAAUAUGUGUGUGUGUGGGUGUGCGUGCGACUGGCUUGCGUGUGUGUGCUUCUGUGUGUGUGUGUGUGUUUGUGUGUGUGUGAUUGAGUGGUUGUGUCCCUGUUACAGUUGCUGUAGACGAGCAGCAAGACAAAGCGUAAUAGUGGCAUGCUAGCUGUGGUUAAAGGCCGGAAGACAGACAGAGCAGACCCACACACUCCCUGCUCCACUGACAUUUACGUCAACUAGUGUAACACAAGCUGAAGACAAACCGACUAUCGUAAGGGAACCUCACACACGUCGUCCAUUACCCUGUCGUGCGCCUGUCAUGGUGGUCUGAACGACAUCUGUCCCCGCGGCAGUGGUCACCUUUGCCUCUGAUUGGCCGAUGGUUUGCACCAGCUGCGGUGUCCCUGUGGUAACGGUCGAAGUGGGUUCGGUUGACGGGGGUACGACCGUGGUCUGGUCCUGGGACGGGUUGUCGCCACCCGUGGCAUUGCUGCUGGUGUGGGUGGAGUCCGUUAUGACCGGGGUCGUGGGCGGCGGGGCUGUGGAAGUCCUCUGGGUGCAGUUGAGUGAGGAUGUGUUAGCGGGUGUGGGAGUGUCAUUGGCUGUGGUAACGACCUUCUGGUUCUCGUUUGGCUGUGAUCCUGUGUCUGUAGAGGAUCUUAUGUCUGUAGGGGUUCUUGUGCUCAUAGGGGGUCUUGUUGUCGUAUGUAAUGGGUAUUCUGCUCUUGAAGUGGACCGGACCAGUACUACACCUAGAGAACAGGAGGUCACAGGUCACUGUCACACAAAUAGGGCACAGAUCAGACAUGAACCCACUGAUACUGUGACAUGGAGACAUGAACCCACUGAUACUGUGACAGGGAGACAUGAACCCACUGAUACUGUGACAUGGAGACAUGAACCCACUGAUACUGUGACAUGGAGACAUGAACCCACUGAUACUGUGACAUGGAGACAUGAACCCACUGAUACUGUGACAGGGAGACAUGAACCCACUGAUACUGUGACAUGGAGGCAUGAACCCACUGAUACUGUGACAGGGAGACAUGAACCCACUGAUACUGUGACAUGGAGACAUGAACCCACUGAUACUGUGACAUGGAGACAUGAACCCACUGAUACUGUGACAGGGAGACAUGAACCCACUGAUACUGUGACAGGGAGACAUGAACCCACUGAUACUGUGACAUGGAGACAUGAACCCACUGAUACUGUGACAGGGAGACAUGAACCCACUGAUACUGUGACAUGGAGACAUGAACCCACUGAUACUGUGACAUGGAGGCAUGAACCCACUGAUACUGUGACAUGGAGACAUGAACCCACUGAUACUGUGACAGGGAGACAUGAACCCACUGAUACUGUGACAGGGAGACAUGAACCCACUGAUACUGUGACAUGGAGACAUGAACCCACUGAUACUGUGACAGGGAGACAUGAACCCACUGAUACUGUGACAUGGAGACAUGAACCCACUGAUACUGUGACAGGGAGACAUGAACCCACUGAUACUGUGACAUGGAGACAUGAACCCACUGAUACUGUGACAGGGAGACAUGAACCCACUGAUACUGUGACAGGGAGACAUGAACCCACUGAUACUGUGACAGGGAGACAUGAACCCACUGAUACUGUGACAUGGAGACAGAGACAGGGGGGAUUACAGGGGCCUUUGAGUGAAUGGUAACCUGUGGGAGGUUUUCUGUAAUGUCUCCUUAGUAAGGACACAGUCUGGGACUUGGGUGGGUGAAAAGCCUGCCUGUAAUUUAUACCUCUUCUGCACAGGUGUAAAUCUGGGUCCGCUUUCAUUUCAGCUUUCUCCUCGACCCAAUUAAGCAACACAAAGUAAAAGAACAAAUUACACAGCCUGACAGAUCAACGUGUCAAACAAAAAACAAACAAAUACAUGCUUGAUUAGUUGACUUCCCACAAGCAUGUGAUUGACGUACAGGACUGUUCUACAGCCAUGAGAAGAAGUGCAGUUGGACUAACCUGGCAGCCUCACACAGAUCUGUACAGGACUACACCUGUUGGACAUACAGGACUACAUCUGUACAGGACUACAUCUGUUCAGGACUACAUCUGUACAGGACUACAUCUGUACAGGACUACACCUGUUGGACAUACAGGACAACAUCUGUACAGGACUACAUCUGUUCAGGACUACAUCUGUACCGGACUACAUCUGUUCAGGACUACAUCUGCUGGACAUACAGGACUGUUCUACAGCCAUGAGAAGCAGUGCAGUCGGACUAACCUGGCAGCCUGACACACAUCAAGACAAUAAGAGGAUUGUUCAACCAGGGCUUUUCACAGGUGACCUGUGCCUGCUGUGAUCCACCAGAGAUUACCCCAAUACAGAUCCCCGAUCUACUACAACAGAGCCCGGAUCUACUACAACAGAACUUAGAUCUACUACAACAGAGCCCGGACCUACUGCAACAGAGCCUGGAUCUACUACCACAGAACCCAGCUCUACUACAACUGAGCCCAGAUCUACUACAACAAAACACAGAUCUACUACAAUAGAACCCGGAUCUACUAAAACAGAGCCCAGAUCUACCUCAGACAAACAGACAAAGGCACCCAAGGUCUACCCCAGACAAACUGACAGACUGCUGAAAAAGCACCUCGAAACGUCAGGAUAACAACAAUCAGAACCAAUCAGAAUAAACCGAAAUUAAAAACCAUCAAAAUAAGGCUACAUGACCUGUUGGGAAGUACAAAUACGAGCGCAAAUCAAAAUGCGGGAAAUAUCUUCCCCAAACUAGAUAGUAUACGCCCAAGUAUUUAACCAUGACUGUUAAUCUGAACCUUAACAAAAUGCAGGUUGUGCUACAUCAGAAACUGAGACAGAGCUGUGUUUCCUAGUAAAAUGUAAAAUAUUUAACAAAUAAGUAUAAUUUCCCCAAAUGUGAGGCCGUUAUGCAAGGUGUGUAAGCCCUGAUGACAGAAGGCCAUCCAUGCAGUAUGAAAGGCUUCCACAGCUUUGAGUUUCAAAGUUAGUCUGACAGAUCAUGAAAUCUCUAAAUCUUAAGUGAACGCAUUUAACCAUGAAUGUUCUUCUAGACUGUGUAUUAUGUUAUAAUCAUUUAUAUGAUAUUAUGAUUAUUUAACGAUACUGUAAACAUAUUUCAAAAUGACACUCAUGCCAAUAAAGCUAUUUGAGUCAGAAACUUGAGAUAGUAAAAAGAGAGGAAAUUCAGGGGGGAAAGGGGGAGCGGAGGUUAAAAACGACAUACAACUGUAAAACUCACCCAGGAGAAACAGGUGACUCCAAAGCAACUGCAUAUUAAUGAUGUGUCAAUAUUUCUAAUGUCUGAUCCGUUAAAGCAGUUUCAAGUUUAUCACACGUGAAGACAAAAAAUACGUUUUCUGUCUAGCUCAAGGAUCUGACAGGAAUUGAGUCACAGACCACAAACCCCUGUGCUC